rnacentral:rRNA from 1 species
CCUACGGGGCGCAGCAGUCGAGAAUCAUUCACAAUGGGGGAAACCCUGAUGGUGCGACGCCGCGUGGGGGAAUGAAGGUCUUCGGAUUGUAAACCCCUGUCAUGUGGGAGCAAAUUAAAAAGAUAGUACCACAAGAGGAAGAGACGGCUAACUCUGUGCCAGCAGCCGCGGUAAUACAGAGGUCUCAAGCGUUGUUCGGAAUCACUGGGCGUAAAGGGUGCGUAGGCUGUUUCGUAAGUCGUGUGUGAAAGGCGCGGGCUCAACCCGCGGACGGCACAUGAUACUGCGAGACUAGAGUAAUGGAGGGGGAACCGGAAUUCUCGGUGUAGCAGUGAAAUGCGUAGAUAUCGAGAGGAACACUCGUGGCGAAGGCGGGUUCCUGGACAUUAACUGACGCUGAGGCACGAAGGCCAGGGGAGCGAAAGGGAUUAGAUACCCCAGUAGUC